UAACACUGGUUCUCGUAUGAUCACUGACGUUAAGCAUCAUCGAACUUGGUGAGUACAUAGAUGGGUAACAGCCUGAGAAUACCAGGUGUUGUAAG